UACCAGGCUGGACAAGCUGUUAUGGCUGGUUCAAGACCAGCCUGGUCAGCUAAACCAGCAUAGACCAGCAUGGAUGUCAUGCUGGUCUAUGCUGGUUUUAGCUGGUAGUUAAGCUGGAUGCUGGUGAAGCUGGUAUUUAUGCUGGUCUACCAGCAGUCUUGCUGGCUAAACUGAAACAGACACAGACAGACAGAGAGGGCGGGGGACGGCGAGACGGCAGUGGUUGAAACAAAGCGGUAUGUUUUGACUGGCACUAACGGCACAACGGUCAAGGAGUGAAGAAGAUCAGUUGAGCGUUUCUGUGACUCCGCCCAGCGGCUGCUCUUCUGAGAGGCACCGCUCUGACAGCUCUGUCUACUGGGAAACGCGCUAAAAGUCCUUCUGGAGGCUUUGCAUUUGAACUCCUGUGACUGGUUGCGGUCUUGAAGGGAAUGACUUCCUGGCCUUCCUGACAUCCAGGAAAAUGUUUUAUUGGACAGUAGAGAUCUAAUGGAAACAGUGGAGA